GUGCCAGCAGCCGCGGUAAUUCCAGCUCCAAUAGCGUAUAUUAAAGUUGUUGUGGUUAAAAAGCUCGUAGUUGGAUCUCAACAGCCUUGAAGCGGUUAACUUUGUAGUUUUACUGCUUUAUAGGCUGUGCUUUUGCUGGAGGUUUAGGGGUGCUCUUGACCGAGUGUCUCUGGAUGCCAGCAGGUUUACUUUGAAAAAAUUAGAGUGCUCAAAGCAGGCUAAAAUGCCUGAAUAUUCGUGCAUGGAAUAAUAGAAUAGGAUGUCGAUCCUAUUUUGUUGGUUUUCGGGACUCGACAUAAUGAUAAAUAGGGACAGUCGGGGGCAUUUGUAUUCAAACGACAGAGGUGAAAUUCUUGGACCGUUUGAAGACAAACUACUGCGAAAGCAUUUGCCAAGAAUGUUUUCAUUAAUCAAGAACGAAAGUUAGAGGUUCGAAGGCGAUUAGAUACCGCCCUAGUUCUAACCAUAAACGAUGCCAGCUAGCGAUCUGCCUGCGUUUUUACUGUAGACUGGGCAGGAAGCUUCCGGGAAACCAAAGCAUUUGGGUUCCAGGGGAAGUAUGGUUGCAAAGCUGAAACUUAAAGGAAUUGACGGAAGGGCACCACCAGGAGUGGAGCCUGUGGCUUAAUUUGACUCAACACGGGAAAUCUCACCAGGCCCGGACACUGGAAGGAUUGACAGAUUGAUAGCUCUUUCUUGAUUCGGUGGGUGGUGGUGCAUGGCCGUUCUUAGUUGGUGGAGUGAUUUGUCUGGUUAAUUCCGAUAACGAACGAGACUCUGUCCUGCUAAAUAGUUUCUACUUCUCUUUUGAGUAGAAUUUCUUCUUAGAGGGACUGGUGACUCUUAGUCACACGAAAAUUGAGCAAUAACAGGUC
rnacentral:rRNA from 1 species